UCAUUGUUGGUGUAAAGCACACCAUUUUUUGAUAAUGGAAGUUACAUUAAU
rnacentral:tRNA from 1 species